rnacentral:rRNA from 1 species
UGAGGAAUAUUGCACAAUGGGCGCAAGCCUGAUGCAGCAACGCCGCGUGCGGGACGAAGGCCUUCGGGUCGUAAACCGCUUUUCUGGGGAAAGAGCAAGGACGGUACCUCAGGAAUAAGUCUCGGCUAACUACGUGCCAGCAGCCGCGGUAAAACGUAGGAGGCGAGCGUUAUCCGGAUUUACUGGGCGUAAAGCGCACGCAGGCGGCUCUGUGAGUCGGACGUGAAAGCUCCCGGCUUAACCGGGAGAGGCCGUUCGAUACUGCGGGGCUUGAGGUAGGGAGAGGAAUGCGGAAUUCCCGGUGUAGUGGUGGAAGGCGUAGUUAUCGGGAGGAACACCUGUGGCGAAAGCGGCAUCCUGGCCCUCACCUGCCGCUGAGGUGCGAAAGCGUG